GGCUGCGUUCGGAGGGGUCGAGCAGCGCCCUAUGCCCGUGCAAAGCCGGAGUCCGUCUGCUGCUGUCAGCCCAAAUCUCCGGGCUGUUCCCGAAGCGGCAAAGACCACUGGUUGCUGCUUGUUCUUCCCUCAACCCAGUGUAUUACGCCCUUUCCCUAAUAUCUUAUCUUUCCACUUAAGGUUUAAUUGGUCUUGACCCCAGAUGGACCACCUGUGCCAAAAGCUUGAGAAACAAAGCAUCCUUCAAUUCCUGCUAUUUCUUUAAAAUCUCCCAUGACUGUGGCUCCAUGAUCCAGCUUCAUGGCACCAGUGAAAAGAACCCGGCCCCAUCCACUUGACAACUUCCCUGUGUCUGGCACCAUUGUGACCAAAAGAGGGGUUCCAGUAGCCAGUUGUUUCGAGAGACACUCCGGAUAGCACUGUGCAAUGUGGCUCAACAUGGAUGCAGAAACAACACAUACGCUGGACUUUUCACUUGGAUUUAUCAAGUGACAAGUUAUCAUCUCAAGGUACCAUCGACAGGGGAGAAAAAUCAAUGUGAUUUGCUAUCAGAAAACUCCUCGCCAACGUCAUACUUGCAUUUACAAAAAAUGGAAUGCUUCUGAGAAGUCCCUUCCAUGUCUGAGAUACAACUCAGGAAUUAGAACUUUAUUUACCAUGGAUGCAAUAGUUUAUUUUCUUCCUGCAAUGCAACUAGGAAGCUAGAACUGUUGCGUGGAUACUUGUUGCAAAUAUAACACUACAAACCCAAACAGAAUUCUUUAUUUCCUCCUCUUCUACUCACUGCUAUUGACCUCACAAACCUUUACUGCUGGAAAGUUAUGUUGGGAUUAUCACUCUUUGUAUAAAAAAGUGAUGUAAUUAUUUAGAAAGGUUAAAUAAGAGCAUUUGAGUGAUAUUUUAUUAGUGCUUCUAUUUAAGAACACUGAGCAAUAGUAUUGGGACUUUUUGAAAUAUUCUCAAGUUUCAUCAUCAGAUUUUUUAAUCUCAGAUACCACAGAUACAAAACAAGCGCAUGCCACAGUAGAAGAAAUGAUCCCAAU